rnacentral:rRNA from 4 species
ACAGGGAUUGCCCUAGUAACGGCGAGUGAAGCGGCAACAGCUCAAAUUUGAAAUCUGGCUCUUUUAGAGUCCGAGUUGUAAUUUGCAGAGGGCGCUUUGGCUUUGGCAGCGGUCCAAGUUCCUUGGAACAGGACGUCACAGAGGGUGAGAAUCCCGUACGUGGUCGCUGGCUAUUGCCGUGUAAAGCCCCUUCGACGAGUCGAGUUGUUUGGGAAUGCAGCUCUAAAUGGGAGGUACAUUUCUUCUAAAGCUAAAUAUUGGCCAGAGACCGAUAGCGCACAAGUAGAGUGAUCGAAAGAUGAAAAGCACUUUGGAAAGAGAGUCAAACAGCACGUGAAAUUGUUGAAAGGGAAGCGCUUGCAGCCAGACUUGCUUACAGUUGCUCAUCCGGGCUUUUGCCCGGUGCACUCUUCUGUAGGCAGGCCAGCAUCAGUUUGGGCGGUAGGAUAAAGGUCUCUGUCACGUACCUCUCUUCGGGGAGGCCUUAUAGGGGAGACGACAUACUACCAGCCUGGACUGAGGUCCGCGCAUCUGCUAGGAUGCUGGCGUAAUGGCUGUAAGCGGCCCGUCUUGAAACACGGACCAAGGAGUCUAACAUCUAUGCGAGUGUUUGGGUGUCAAGCCCGAGCGCGUAAUGAAAGUGAACGGAGGUAGGAACCCGCAAGGGUGCACUAUCGACCGAUCCUGAUGUCUUCGGAAGGAUUUGAGUAAGAGCAUGGCUGUUGGGACCCGAAAGAUGGUGAACUAUGCUUGAAUAGGGUGAAGCCAGAGGAAACUCUGGUGGAGGCUCGCAGCGGUUCUGACGUGCAAAUCGAUCGUCAAAUUUGGGCAUAGGGGCGAAAGACUAAU